CCCUUAGAGUUUGAUCCUGGCUCAGAACGAACGCUGGCGGCAGGCCUAAUACAUGCAAGUCGAACGCACCUUCGGGUGAGUGGCAGACGGGUGAGUAACGCGUGGGAACCUUCCCAAUGGUACGGAAUAACUCCGGGAAACCGGUGCUAAUACCGUAUAAGCCCUUCGGGGGAAAGAUUUAUCGCCAUCGGAUGGGCCCGCGUCGGAUUAGCUAGUUGGUAAGGUAAUGGCUUACCAAGGCUACGAUCCGUAGCUGGUCUGAGAGGAUGAUCAGCCACACUGGGACUGAGACACGGCCCAGACUCCUACGGGAGGCAGCAGUAGGGAAUCUUGGACAAUGGGCGAAAGCCUGAUCCAGCCAUGCCGCGUGAGUGAAGAAGGCCUUAGGGUUGUAAAGCUCUUUUGGCGGGGACGAUAAUGACGGUACCCGCAGAAUAAGCCCCGGCUAACUUCGUGCCAGCAGCCGCGGUAAUACGAAGGGGGCUAGCGUUGUUCGGAAUUACUGGGCGUAAAGCGCACGCAGGCGGAUUGAUAAGUCGGGGGUGAAAUCCCGGGGCUCAACCUCGGAAUUGCCUUCGAUACUGUUAGUCUUGAGU
rnacentral:rRNA from 1 species